rnacentral:pre_miRNA from 14 species
UGCUCCCCCUCUCUAAUCCUUGCUGUCUGGGUGCUAGUGCUGUCUCAAUGCAAUGCACCUGGGCAAGGGUUCAGAGAGGGUGGGCU